rnacentral:rRNA from 1 species
CGCCCGUCGCUCCUACCGAUUGGGUGUGCUGGUGAAGUGUAUGGAUUGGGGGCUCGGGGCGGUUUCCGCCUCUUGUCCCCGAGAAGUUCAUUAAACCCUCCCACCUAGAGGAAGGAGAAGUCGUAACAAGGUUUCC